ensembl:lncRNA ZBED3-AS1 ZBED3 antisense RNA 1
GACCUGAAUUCCCGGGCCUGAGUCUCAGAGCGCGGUUUGCAUCUUUGCAGGCUGUAGGCGCAUGAUGUCACAAGUUAUUGGAAGAAAUCCCUCCAACCUAGGUUGGGACAGAUGAAGGCGGCGCUUAUUGGUGUUCACCAAAACACCAGCAUGGUGUACCAGCUUUGGCUAGAUGAUGCUCAGAACACCAGAGACUGGGUAAUUAAUAAAAAGAAGAAAUUGAUCUGGCCUACAGUUCUGGAGCCUUGGAAGUCCGAGAUCAAGGAGCUGCAUCUGGGUUCUAGGAUGCCUCAUAAAGGCCCGUAGUGUACUUUCUGUCUACUUCACUUAGCUCCGCAUUUGCAAUUUCUGUUAACAUGCAUACAGUUGAAUGGAUGGCCAGGAUCAAAGCUAUCUGCUGUGAGACACAAUGAGAAAUGCUUUUGUGUAAAGGACUCAAUGAUCACCCGCUCCAGAGGAUGCAGCAAAAAGGUGCCAUCUUGGAAGCAGAGACCAGCUCUCACCAGACGCUGAAUCUGCUGGCUCCCUGAUCUUGGACUUCCCAGGGUCCAGAACUCUGAGAAAUAAAUUUCUAUUGUUUAUAAUGUACUCAGUCUGUGGUAUUUUGUUAUAGCAGCAGGAAUGGACUGAGAGAAAAGCAGCUAGUUGAGGAUUUGAGAAUUUGGGUGUUUUUUUGGUUUUUGGUUUUGGUUUGAGUGAAUCUUUUUGCAAAACAUUUUAGACAUUUUAUGUACAAUAAAAUGCUUCCAUUUUAAAUAUGCAUUUGAGUAGGCUUUAGAAAUGUAUACAACCAUGUAAACACCUUAAUCAAGACACAGAAUGUUUUCAUAACCCUCAAAAGUUCCCUUGUAUCCAGUUGCAGUAAAUCUCCCCUUCUCCCCACCCCCAGGUGACUCCUAAUCUGCUUUCUAUCAGUUUAGAAAAGUUUGCAUUUUCUAGAAUUUUGUAUAGAGGGAAUGAGUCAGACUUUCAUGUAUCAUAAUGCUUUUGAGAUUCACCCAUAUUGUUGCAUGUAUCAGUGGAUUCUUCCUUUUCCUUGCUAAGUUUCAUUCUGUUAUAUAGAUAUACUGCAAUUUAUUGAUCAAUUCUCUGUUAAUGGACAUUUGGAUUGUUUCUAGUUUUGGUGUAUUUUGUAUAAACCGACAGUUCCUGACUUAUGAUGGUUCAACUUUAACAUAAUGCGAAAACAAUACACAUUCAGUAGAAUUCAUACUUCAAGUACCCAUACAACCAUUCUGUUUUUCACUUUCAGUACAUUGCUUAAUAAAUUAUGUGAGAUAUUCAACACUUUAUUAUAAAA